rnacentral:rRNA from 1 species
GAUGAACGCUGGCGGCGUGCUUAACACAUGCAAGUCGAACGGAAAGGCCCAAGCUUGCUUGGGUACUCGAGUGGCGAACGGGUGAGUAACACGUGGGUGAUCUGCCCUGCACUUCGGGAUAAGCCUGGGAAACUGGGGCUAAUACCGGAUAGGACCACAUUUUGGAUGGUGUGGUGGAGAGUUUUUCGGGGUGGGAUGAGCUCGCGGCCUCUCAGCUUGUUGGUGGGGUAGUGGCCUACCAAAAAGUCGACGGGGAGCCGGCCCGCGAGGGUGUACCGCGCCAUUUGGGGUGUGAGACGGCGCACACUCCCCUGGGGGGCGGCAGUGUGGAAUAUUGCACAAUGUGCGCGAGCCCGAUGCAGCGACGCCGCGUGUGGGGUGUCGGCGUUCGGGUUUUGAACUCCUCUCUCUACGGACAAAGCGUUUUUGUGACGGUACCUGGAGAAGAAGCACCGGCUAACUACGUG